AACUGCGAGUGAAGCGGGAAAAGCUCAAAUUUAAAAUCUGGCAGUCUUUGGCUGUCCGAGUUGUAGUCUGGAGAAGCGUUUUCCGCGCUGGACCGUGUACAAGUCUCUUGGAACAGAGCGUCAUAGAGGGUGAGAAUCCCGUCUUUGACACGGACUACCAGUGCUUUGUGAUGCGCUCUCAAAGAGUCGAGUUGUUUGGGAAUGCAGCUCAAAAUGGGUGGUAAAUUCCAUCUAAAGCUAAAUAUUGGCGAGAGACCGAUAGCGAACAAGUACCGUGAGGGAAAGAUGAAAAGCACUUUGGAAAGAGAGUUAAACAGUACGUGAAAUUGCUGAAAGGGAAACGCUUGAAGUCAGUCGCGUCGUUCAGAACUCAACCUGGCUUUUGCUUGGUGCACUUUCUGUUUGACGGGCCAACAUCAGUUUUGACUGCUGGAGAAAAGCCUUUGGAAUGUGGCACCUUCGGGUGUGUUAUAGCCUUGGGUUGUAUACAGUGGUUGGGACUGAGGACCGCAGCACGCCUUCUGGCCGGGGUUCGCCCACGUACGUGCUUAGGAUGUUGGCGUAAUGGCUUUAAACGACCCGUCUUGAAACACGGACCAAGGAGUCUAACAUGCCUGCGAGUGUUUGGGUGGAAAACCCGAGCGCGUAAUGAAAGUGAAAGUUGGGAUCCCUGUCGUGGGGAGCACCGACGCCCAUACCAGACCUUCUGUGACGGAUAUGCGGUUGAGCAUGUAUGUUGGGACCCGAAAGAUGGUGAACUAUGCCUGAAUAGGGUGAAGCCAGAGGAAACUCUGGUGGAGGCUCGUAGCGAUUCUGACGUGCAAAUCGAUCGUCAAAUUUGGGUAUAGGGGCGAAAGACUAAUCG
rnacentral:rRNA from 2 species